rnacentral:rRNA from 1 species
CAUGCAGUCGAGCGCUCCGCAAGGAGAGCGGCGGACGGGUGAGUAACGCGUGGGAUUGUACCCCUUACUUCGGAAUAGCCUCGGGAAACUGGGAGUAAUACCGAAUGUGCUCUUCGGAGGAAAGAUUUAUCGGUAAGGGAUCGGCCCGCGUUGGAUUAGGUAGUUGGUGGGGUAAUGGCCUACCAAGCCGACGAUCCAUAGCUGGUUUGAGAGGAUGAUCAGCCACACUGGGACUGAGACACGGCCCAGACUCCUACGGGAGGCAGCAGUGGGGAAUCUUAGACAAUGGGCGCAAGCCUGAUCUAGCCAUGCCGCGUGAUCGAUGAAGGCCUUAGGGUUGUAAAGAUCUUUCAGUGGGGAAGAUAAUGACUGUACCCACAGAAGAAGCCCCGGCUAACUCCGUGCCAGCAGCCGCGGUAAUACGGAGGGGGCUAGCGUUGUUCGGAAUUACUGGGCGUAAAGCGCACGUAGGCGGACAGAGAAGUCAGAGGUGAAAUCCCAGGGCUCAACCUUGGAACUGCCUUUGAAACUUUUUGUCUUGAGGUCGAGAGAGGUGAGUGGAAUUCCGAGUGUAGAGGUGAAAUUCGUAGAUAUUCGGAGGAACACCAGUGGCGAAGGCGGCUCACUGGCUCGAUACUGACGCUGA